rnacentral:rRNA from 1 species
UACAGAGGUCCCAAGCGUUGUUCGGAUUCACUGGGCGUAAAGGGUGCGUAGGUGGUCGGGUAAGUCUGAUGUGAAAUCUCGGAGCUCAACUCCGAAACGGCAUUGGAUACUAUUCGGCUUGAGGGUUGGAGGGGGGACUGGAAUUCUCGGUGUAGCAGUGAAAUGCGUAGAUAUCGAGAGGAACACCAGUGGCGAAGGCGAGUCCCUGGACAACUCCUGACACUAAGGCGCGAAAGCUAGGGGAGCAAACAGG